rnacentral:rRNA from 1 species
CCCUUAGAUGUCCUGGGCCGCACGCGCGCCACACUGAGCGUCUGAGAUACGAGUCUGCCUAGCCGGCGAGGUCUAGGUAAUCGCUGAAAGACACAUCAUGCUUGGGAUAGAUUAUUGCAGAUAUUAAUCUUGAACGAGGAAUUCCUAGUAAGCGCAAGUCAACAGCUUGCGUUGAUUACGUCCCUGCCCUUUGUACACACCGCCCGUCGCUACUACUGAUUGGAUGUUUAAGCGAGGUUCUCGAACUGCUAGCGACUUAGCUUCGGUGAGGUCGCCGUGUGGGAAGUGAACCUAGCUUUGGUGUCUAGAGGAAGUAAAAGUCGUAUCA